GAAUAGACGCUGUUUCUCUUAUUCUUUCCCUCAUAUUCUAGGGUUUCUCUCAUUCUCCUCCUUCCCUCUCUGUCGCCUCUUUACGGAUAUUCAAAGAUCUUCAAUCCAUCAAUUCGAAUCAAGAUUCUGUGAAGAACUUUUGAUUUUAGUUGGAAACUGUUAUCGGUUAUGGAGUAUUUGACGACGAAAUCGGUGAAUACGAGAGGUUGAUUGGAAAGCGAUGCCGGAACUAGCGUCGGAUUGUAGGUUCAGUGACGGCGAUACGACAAGGUUUUAUAGAUCUGUAUCGUUGAGUGGAUUUUGGUCGAAGCAUCGCGAUGACGUUGGCUGCAAUUAACUCCAGAAGCAGGUGAUUGAUACGUAAGCCGUUUCAGAUCGCUUCACGUAUUAGGGAUUUUCAUUCGAUUUACUAAGAUGGACAAUCCCUUAUCGCAAUGGUACAUGUUUUAGAUUUAGUGGUAAGAGUCAUAUUUUGAUGGCCAAUUCAAAAUUAAAAUCUGAGAUGAAAAACCUAUGGGUAACCUGGUGAUUUAAAGCGCUUCUCAAACUUUAGUGAGUUGAACAUGCUCUAUUCUAUAGAGACGAAUCUGGGUGAUUUUGGGUGGCGGUUAUGAUGCAAGGGAUGGUACAUUGGUUUAUAUUAUUUCCAGUAUUGAUAAAGAUCUACAGUUGCGAACAUGGGUGUUGUCCCUCUCUGAUCCAAAUAUUUACUAUGGAAAACUAAAAGGAUAUAUAAUUUAAUAACAAGAAGAGCUAUGCGGGAAUAAUUGUCACACUACGGUUUGAGGACACCCAGGCAAAACAACAACAAUUCUAGAAACGAGCAUGGGAAGGAAAACCCAGAGAGGGAAUUAAAGUGGAGAUUGUAUCACCAAAAUCAUCGAAAAUUCCCCAAGAAACCAUAAAGGAAAAACUAGAAAUAAUGUGGGCACGGUAUUGCUUUUUCAGAGGUGGGCAUAUAAUCUUGCAGUGAAGUACGCGUUGAGGGAGUAGAGACGUUGGACUAUUUGGAUAAUAUGUUCAAGAAAAACAGGUACAAGGCAAAAGCCUUUUCUUUUGAUGGUGAGGUAAGAGGUAAGAGGUAAGAUAUGGUUUUAUUUUACCUUCAAAUGUAUUGCAUUCAACAUAGUUAUAACAUAAUUAUUUAUAAACAGAAGGGGUUCUUUUUGGACAAAGACACCACAAGGCCUUUUAUGAUGAUGUUGUCAAUAUACAUGUACUCUCCUACACCCUUUAUAGAAGUAGAAGCACUUUAACAAUUUACGCAUUUAUGUAACUUCUUUGAUUGCUUUUUGUCUCGAAUCGGUUUUAACUUGGUUUAUUAAAAUAUUCAUCGUAGAAAUCAAUUGCUAAUCGUGUUUUAUUUAAUGUAAUUAUUACAAGUUUUCUUCUUAAGUCAACAAAUUUUUGUGAAAUUUUGAGCUGCAUAAAUAUAGUAGGACCGGUAGAUUGUUAAAUUAGUGAGCUUGAAUAACCCUGUUUAUAAGGUAUGCUGAAUAGUCAUCAUUGAUCAAUACUUGACCUUAUAUUGAUUGGAUAAUGGGUAAUAGAAACUUUGUCUCUUUUAUUUUUGUAUUUUGCUUUCUUAGAGUAAAAAACUUCUUUGGGUUUUGAAGGUAUUAAUGUCGAAUUUCUUUGCUUUUGCUGCGGGUUUAUUACAGGUAUGCUUUAUGUUACUAAGAACUCUUUUUCAUAUUUACUUUCCACUUAGAGUAGAUGUGUAUGUUUGAACCUCAACUUUGUUUUACAUUUUCAAUUGACGUUGAACUGCUAUAAGGUCUUAACCAUGUCAAGGGGAAUUUGACUUAAGACACUAUUGCUUUUACACGUUUUCAUAUAAAUUCUUCUUCUACUCUUAUUUAACUGCUAUAUUGGUAGUUGAUGUUUUUACUUGAUGUAAGCUAAAGCAUACUUAAGGGAAUAAAUGCUCGGUCACAAAUUGGUGUAUGGAUGAAGUUGAAAGUUUGAAGUUUGGUGAUUGGAAGAUGGGUGCCUUGAAGAACGGCAGCCAGAAGAUUAAAGUCUUGAAGAUUGAACAUUGUUAUGUUUUUAGUAAUUAUUAAUAAAAAAUGAUAAAUGCAGUAUGGAGAGUGUUAACUGGCAGGAUUCCGACGUCAAUGGCUUUGCAACUAAAGGAGUAAAUUAGGAUCACAAUGUUAUCAUUAUGAAUAAUCUCAAUGCUUUUCUUUGUUUAUUUGAUGAAACAAGUUCUCAUACCCAACUUUUUUAUAUUUACUAUGAGGGGUAAAUGAGAAUAUAUUGGUGUAACUUUUGUUUAGAUGAAAGUGGUGGGUUAAUUAUUAUAUUAA